rnacentral:lncRNA from 1 species
GUUGUGGAGCUCACCAUGUUAUGAUUGCCAUAGUCACAAUCUUGUGCUCCUGUUUCAGCCUCAGUGACUCCUGUGACAUCCGACAGACUCUGAGCAGCCAAAGCAGCCUGUGAGCACAGUGGCUGUAUUAAAAAAGCUCCACUGUCUGAUACUGUUUGUCACAUGAUAGAAAACUGUAGAGAAGCAAACUUUUCAACAUGAGUCAGUGACUUUAAAGCCACAACAUGAAACUCAAAAUUGAGUCCAACACCAGACUCCUUUUAAACAAAGGCACAACGUCAUUGUGUGAGAUCCUAGACUAAGUUUCACUUUAAUACAAGUGACAGCAGGUGUUUAGCUCUGAAUCUGUGGCUUUUUCAGAAGAUGAGUCUUAUUGUGGAGGAGAAGGAUGAAGCAGAUUCUCCAGGAUCAAGAUGUGCAUCUAUGAAGAACGACUGGUCCAGAUUUGAGCCUCUGUCAUUCAGUUCUGAACCUGGAGCCUCAAAUACAAAAGGUCAGAACCACAAACAAAGAGCAGAACCUCCAGGACCCAGCUGUCUGUCUAUGAAGAGUGACUGGUCCAAAGAAGAGCCUUGGGAGUUCAAUAAUGGACCUGGAGCCUCAGACUUAAAAGGUCAGAACCACAAACAAAGAGCAGAACCUCCAGGACCCAGCUGUCUGUCUAUGAAGAGUGACUGGUCCAAAGAAGAGCCUUGGGAGUUCAAUAAUGGACCUGGAGCCUCAGACUUAAAGUAAGAGCUAGGUUUUACUAGCUCUUACUUUGGGAGGGGGGGGGUCCUUUGUUGCAGUCGAAGGAAGGGCAGAGUGGACUGCGUGGUGCUGAGGUGUAAACAGCUGCUACUGGGAGU